CGGGAGGAGCAGCUCCCUCACGGCCGUCAGGGCCUCCUCAGGGCGUUCUGGGGCCGUCCGGCCUGGGGGAGCCUGGGCCCCGUCCGCGGGGAGCGAGUGCUGUGGUGUGGAGACCGAGGGGCCUGUGGAGAGCGCUGUCCUAGUGCCCUUGUAAGGGCUUGGUUCUCACAGGGCUGAGUCCCGCGGGUGGAGCUGCGCUCGUUUUCACCUUCCUCACGCCGCCCUUCCUCCUCUGUCCCUCGUUGCCCAGCACCUCUUUGGGUUCAUGGGCCGUAUUUCUGCUCGGUGUUCAUCCUUUUCCUCAGUGGCGCAGCUCACGAUCUCAGCCCUCCCCGCCGGGCUCCGCACGGAGCGCUGCCCGUGUUGGAAGCAGAGCUGUAAGAGGAGAGAGGCGGCCCUCCGUGAGCGGAGAUUGCCGGGCUGCUGGAAGCGGCAGAAACAUCAGCUCUGAGGCUGCCGACGAAACGUGCGGGAGUUUGACAGCUGCGUGCCGCGAACAGGUACACUUUCCACGUUAAACCUGCCUGGGAGGAACCAGUGCUGUUUGGUCUCUGCAAACUGCUGACGUUCCGGCUCUGUGACCAGUUUUGUCAGUGGACUUGAAUGAGGCUGCAAAGGGUUCUCUGCACAGGAAUGCUAUUUUGGGAUGAUGAAGAAUUAUUUGCAAGAGGAAUUUCUGAAGAAUUCUGUAUGAGGAGGGGCACUCAGAGAUCCCAGUGGAGAGGACUGUCUAGACAGCUUGGGGAGCAGAAGAGGGGAUGUAGGGCUGACUCUGACUCCU
rnacentral:lncRNA from 1 species